UACGGAGGGUGCUAGCGUUGUUCGGAAUCACUGGGCGUAAAGGGCGUGUAGGCGGUCUGUUAAGUCUGAUGUGAAAUCCCUCGGCUCAACCGAGGACGUGCGGAAGAAACUGCGAGGCUCGAGUCCAGAAGAGGGGGGCGGAAUUCCCAGUGUAGCGGUGAAAUGCGUAGAUAUUGGGAGGAACACCGGUGGCGAAGGCGGCCCCCUGGGCUGGUACUGACGCUGAUGCGCGAAAGCGUGGGUAGCAAACGGG
rnacentral:rRNA from 1 species